rnacentral:rRNA from 1 species
UACAGAGGUCCCAAGCGUUGUUCGGAUUCACUGGGCGUAAAGGGUGCGUAGGCGGUCGGGUAAGUCUGGCGUGAAAUCUCCAAGCCUAACUUGGAAACUGCGUUGGAUACUAUCCGGCUCGAGGAAUGGAGGGGAGACUGGAAUACUUGGUGUAGCAGUGAAAUGCGUAGAUAUCAAGUGGAACACCAGUGGCGAAGGCGAGUCUCUGGACAUUUCCUGACGCUGAGGCACGAAAGCGUGGGGAGCGAACCGG